AUGCCUACGGGAGGCAGCAGUGAGGAAUAUUGGUCAAUGGACGAGAGUCUGAACCAGCCAAGUAGCGUGAAGGAUGACUGCCCUAUGGGUUGUAAACUUCUUUUAUAUGGGAAUAAAAUGUUCCACGUGUGGGAUUUUGUAUGUACCAUAUGAAUAAGGAUCGGCUAACUCCGUGCCAGCAGCCGCGGUAAUACGGAGGAUCCGAGCGUUAUCCGGAUUUAUUGGGUUUAAAGGGUGCGUAGGCGGACUGGAAAGUCAGCGGUAAAAUCGAGAGGCUCAACCUCUUUCCGCCGUUGAAACUGUCG
rnacentral:rRNA from 1 species